rnacentral:tRNA from 1 species
GGAGGAGUACUCAAAUGGUCACGAGAAUGGUUUGCUAAACCAUGUCACCGAAAGGUGACUUGUGGGUUCGAGCCCCACCUCCUCCG